GAUGAACGCUGGCGGCGUGCCUAAUACAUGCAAGUCGAGCGAAUGGAUUAAGAGCUUGCUCUUAUGAAGUUAGCGGCGGACGGGUGAGUAACACGUGGGUAACCUGCCCAUAAGACUGGGAUAACUCCGGGAAACCGGGGCUAAUACCGGAUAACAUUUUGAACCGCAUGGUUCGAAAUUGAAAGGCGGCUUCGGCUGUCACUUAUGGAUGGACCCGCGUCGCAUUAGCUAGUUGGUGAGGUAACGGCUCACCAAGGCAACGAUGCGUAGCCGACCUGAGAGGGUGAUCGGCCACACUGGGACUGAGACACGGCCCAGACUCCUACGGGAGGCAGCAGUAGGGAAUCUUCCGCAAUGGACGAAAGUCUGACGGAGCAACGCCGCGUGAGUGAUGAAGGCUUUCGGGUCGUAAAACUCUGUUGUCAGGGAAGAACGAGUGCUAGUUGAAUAAGCUGGCACCUUGACGGUACCUAACCAGAAAGCCACGGCUAACUACGUGCCAGCCGCCGCUGUAA
rnacentral:rRNA from 1 species